rnacentral:rRNA from 1 species
UGGGGGAUAUUGCACAAUGGGCGCAAGCCUGAUGCAGCGACGCCGCGUGGGGGAUGAAGGCCUUCGGGUUGUAAACUUCUUUUGCUCUGAACAAGGCGCACUUUGGGGUGUGUUGAGUGUAGGGGUUGAUUAGCGCCGGCUAACUACGUGCCAGCAGCCGCGGUAAUACGUAGGGCGCGAGCGUUGUCCGGAAUUAUUGGGCGUAAAGGGCUUGUAGGUGGCUGGUUGCGUCUGUCGUGAAAGCUCAUGGCUUAACUGUGGGUUUGCGGUGGGUACGGGCUGGCUUGAGUACAGUAGGGGAGGCUGGAAUUCCUGGUGUAGCGGUGGAAUGCGCAGAUAUCAGGAGGAAUACCGGUAGCGAAGGCGGGUCUCUGGGCUGUUACUGACACUGAGGAGCGAAAGCAUGGGGAGCGAACAGG